AAAACAGCAGGAUGGCUAACAAUGAUGGUCUCCACCAAACUUUGCAGUUGGUCAUGAUGAUGUCCGUUUCUGUGAUUAACUGUGCAAAAAGCCCAAAAUGCUAAAAUGUGU